rnacentral:rRNA from 1 species
CAUCGCUCCCCGAACAAAACAUAUGGGGAGUCGAACCUGCCCAGUGAAAAUAUUUUAACGGCCGCGGUACUCUGACCGUGCAAAGGUAGCAUAAUCAUUUGCCUUAUAAUUGAAGGCUGGAAUGAAUGGUCUGACGAGAGCAGUACUGUCUCCUAUUUAUUCCUUAGAAUUUGACUUUUAGGUGAAGAGGCCUGAAUUUUAUUGAAGGACAAGAAGACCCUGUCGAGCUUAAAAAAUAAAUAGAACUACUUAUAUUUUAAUAAACUUACAGCUAUCAGUAUUUUUGGUUGGGGCGACCGAGGAACAAAAAAAGCUUCCUAUAUUUAAAAAUACUAAUGAGUCCUGAUCCGGCCAAAGCCGAUUAAAAAAAUUAGUUACCGCAGGGAUAACAGCAUAAUCUCCCUUGAGAGACCUUAUCGAAAGGGGGGGUUGUGACCUCGAUGUUGGACUAGAAUAUCCUGAAGAUGCAGAAGUCUUCGAGGGUUGGUCUGUUCGACCAUUAAAAUUCUAC